rnacentral:tRNA from 1 species
UUGCGGGGUAGAGCAGAGGCAGCUCGUCGGGCUCAUAACCCGGAGGUCGCAGGUUCGAAUCCUGUCCCCGCUAUC